AAGCCCAUGAAAUGGGCAUAAUCUUAACAGGUCCUUAAAACGCUCUCAGGCUUAAAACAAAGAUUCCCCAUCUUUCUGUCUAAAAUUAGAUAUAUCACUCAUAAUUU